rnacentral:rRNA from 1 species
AAUCUUGGACAAUGUGGGAAACCCUGAUCUAGCCAUCCCUCUUGUUUGAUGAAGGCCUUCGGGUUNUAAAGUACUUUUGGCAGAGANGAAAAGGUAUCUCCUAAUACGAGAUACUGCUAACGGUAUCUGCAGAAUAAGCACCGGCUAACUACGUUCCAGCAGCAGCGGUAAUACUUAGGGUGCAAGCGUUAAUCGGAAUUACUGUGCGUAACGCGUGUGUAUGCGGUUCGGAAAGAAAGAUGUGAAAUCCCAGGGAUCAGCCUUGGAACUGCAUUUUUAACUGCCGAGCUAGAGUAUGUCAGACGGGGGUAGAAUUCCACGUGUAGCAGUGAAAUGCGUAGAUAUGUGGAGGAAUACCGAUGGCGAAGGCAGCCCCCUGGGAUAAUACUGACGCUCAGACACGAAAGCGUGGGGAGCAAACAGG